rnacentral:rRNA from 1 species
GAUGAACGCUGGCGGCGUGCCUAAUACAUGCAAGUCGAGCGAACGGACGAGAAGCUUGCUUUUCUGAUGUUAGCGGCGGACGGGUGAGUAACACGUGGAUAACCUACCUAUAAGACUGGGAUAACUUCGGGAAACCGGAGCUAAUACCGGAUAAUAUUUUGAACCGCAUGGUUCAAAAGUGAAAGACGGUCUUGCUGUCACUUAUAGAUGGUUCCGCGCUGCAUUAGCUAGUUGGUAAGGUAACGGCUUAACAAGGCAACGAUGCAUAGCCGACCUGAGAGGGAGAUCGGCCACACUGGAACUGAGACACGGUCCAGACUCCUACGGGAGGCAGCAGUAGGGAAUCUUUCGCAAUGGGCGAAAGCCUGACGGAGCAACGCCGCGUGAGUGAUGAAGGUCUUCGGAUCGUAAAACUCUGUUAUUAGGGAAGAACAUAUGUGUAAGUAACUGUGCACAUCUUGACGGUACCUAAUCAGAAAGCCACGGCUAACUACGUG